UAGGGAAUCUUCGGCAAUGGGGGCAACCCUGACCGAGCAACGCCGCGUGAGUGAAGAAGGUUUUCGGAUCGUAAAGCUCUGUUGUAAGUCAAGAACGGGUGUGAGAGUGGAAAGUUCACACUGUGACGGUAGCUUACCAGAAAGGGACGGCUAACUACGUGCCAGCAGCCGCGGUAAUACGUAGGUCCCGAGCGUUGUCCGGAUUUAUUGGGCGUAAAGCGAGCGCAGG
rnacentral:rRNA from 1 species